GUGAAUCAUCAAAUUUUUGAACGCAAAUUGCACUCUCUUCGGAGAGUAUGCCUGUUUGAGGGUCAGCCUAAAAAAAAUGGACGUAUUCGCUGUUUCGCGGUGACAUUGGUCGGAAAUUGGGCAAUCUUAAACCUUUGGGUUUUUUAAGCGGCUUAAAAUUUUCUUUAUGAUUCCACGAACGUUUCUAAGAUUUUAUUUCUUAUAUACGUUAUAGGUAUCGACUUUUCUUAACCGUGGUC
rnacentral:misc_RNA from 1 species